GCGUUUUGCUGCAAUGUGGCACUGCUUCUCCAGUAGCUAAUUGUGGUUUCAUGCCCUUUAGUAAAUACUAAGUAAUUUUGUUAUUAAACCAGCUGCUUCACAAUUUGUCUUGUGUUUUUUUCUUGACCUAAGUGUUUCUUGAUUAAGCUGUUAAUUUUAACAUUUGAACGUCCUAUCCUAUCCAUUGUUGUGUGUUUCCCCACCCUUGACUUUCCUUGGACUAUUCUUUCAUGCCUGUUAUGUUAC